rnacentral:rRNA from 1 species
UGGGGAAUAUUGGACAAUGGGCGCAAGCCUGAUCCAGCAAUGCCGCGUGUGUGAAGAAGGCCUUCGGGUUGUAAAGCACUUUUAUCAGGAGCGAAACGCUGUCGGCUAAUGACCCGGCGGAACUGACGGUACCUGAGGAAUAAGCACCGGCUAACUUCGUGCCAGCAGCCGCGGUAAUACGAAGGGUGCAAGCGUUAAUCGGAAUUACUGGGCGUAAAGCGUGCGUAGGCGGUUUCUUAAGUCUGCUGUGAAAUCCCCGGGCUCAACCUGGGAAUGGCAGUGGAUACUGGGAGGCGUAGAGUGUGUCAGAGGGUGGUGGAAUUCCCGGUGUAGCGGUGAAAUGCGUAGAGAUCGGGAGGAACAUCCGUGG